rnacentral:misc_RNA from 1 species
GGAAGUAAAAGUCUAACAAGGUUUCCGUAGGUGAACCUGCGGAAGGAUCAUUAUUGUAUAACCGAGGUGCGAGGGCUGUCGCUGACCCGAAAGGUCGUGCACGCCCGAGUGCCCUCACACACAUCCAUCUCACCCCUAUGUGCACCACCGCGUGGGUCCCCCUUUGGCUUGUUCGGAGGGGGGCUUACGUUUUCACACAAACUUUGUAUGCAGUGUAGAAUGUAUUUUUUGUUUUUGCGAUCACGCAAUCAAUACAACGUUCAACAACGGAUCUCUUGGCUCUC